UGCACCAGGGCCAAAUCGACCCCUGGUGUAAACUUUCGGUGAGCAGGGUUGGAUCCUUGCUCUCCGCAUGGGGGAAAGCCCGUAGGGUGCAGACAGCUGGGAACACGCCUGUUGGGCAUUCUGUGGGGUCAGCAUAUCCCAGAGCUCUUCCCCCCCAUCCUCUCCCCUUCCCCAUUCCUGUCCCAUGCCUCAGUCCAAGCCUCAGGCACAAGCCAGUGGGGGACAGGGAGGGGGACCAGGCUUGUGAGAUGGCUGGGAACCUACCAACACCUGCCUGCAGCUCCCUUGCCAUUCUCCUCACGUCCCCAUCCCCUGAAAGGAUUGAUGCAUCUGCCUUUGAGCUGUUGUGAAAUGCAGAGGCUGAAGAAUAGCUCCACAGGCAGCCCCGGGAGGAGGGGGGAAGGAGGGGAAGGUGCCUCCAGGAGCAGACGGCUCAGCGGAUGGCCGCAGCGGCCAGCCUUGCAUCCCAAUGAGGAGAAAGGCCUGACAGGCAGCAACAGGGGGUGGUGGGGACAGGGAGGGAGAGACAGCAGCAUCCUCACUAUGGCCGAUCUCCCCGGAGCAGAAAAUAAUCCUGACCUGGGGAGACACUCAGUCAGAUGCUGAAUCCUGCCUCUCCGGACUGGGCUGAAAUUACAGAACCUUUCUGGGCCUUUUUGUCAUACGGAUUAUGGAGGAUGAGGGGGAACCUCAGCUUGGCAGCUGCUCUCAGGAGGCAGGGAACGGGCGGCACAGGCAUUGUCAAGGCAAUUUUGAGAAGGCAACAACUGCCAGCACAAAAAUAGCCUGCUCAGAUGUGGCACUUGUGGAAGGCAAUGCAGAUGGGGGAAGAGGAGACAGAGAAGGGAUCUUGGCUCCUUCCCCAUGGCCAGAGUGAUAUUCAUGUCCAGGAUGCAAGGGCAGCUAGGUGACUGGUUAUGGUUUGCACUGAAAGUGAAGGUCUUGCAUCCUCUCCCCAUGCCCCAUGUCUCCUGACAGUCAAUGUCCCUCGCUCAUGGCACUGGCAUGACCUGUCUGAUGUUUCAGAUAGAAAAGGAGGAUUGUGGUGGCAACAGCAGCUAUGCGUUUAUUCUGUGUCUGUGCAAUGUGGAGUGAGAGCCUGGGGUGGGAGAUGGUGGGUGGCAGUAGCCUCAUGGGAGUGAGGACAUGACUUUGCCUGUUAGAGAGAUCUGGGCUCAUGGGACAGACUCAUGCCAGUGGGGCCUGGACAGACUGCCACGGAACAGACACCAGGUGCUCACAGCAUCACCAGAGAUGGCAUGGUCAUGGACAAGGCUGUGGGCCAGCACCAGGAGUCCACACACAGGAAUGCUGUACCAUGCUGCCUCUCCAUAGCAGAGUCUUGCUCUUUUGGAAGAGGAUAUUCUGCCUACUUACUACCAACUUUGAAAGGGGAAAAGACUGGUUAAAAGGUUGCUGCCCCCAGCCUGGUUCCCUUUGUGUGCAGGCUGCUUGGCUGAAAGGAUUGGAGAUUCAGCACAAGGAGAGAAUAAGCAAUGUCUGUUAAUUGUCCAGCAUCUCCAGGAGAAAAUCCUUUCCUGGGGCAGCCUGUCUCUUACCCCAAGUGGCUCCCAGGUACUGUUCCAGGUUGCACAAGGCCACAGUUUUGUUCAUUCCUCUCUCUCACUCCCAUGCUGUCAUUUCUUUUUUUGGCCAAUGUCAUGGGCUUUUACACUACGAAGUCGCUUACAGACACUGCUUCCCAACUGAUGAGGUUCCUUCAUCACAGCUGCACAGCAGCUACAUCCUCCCUUCCUCACUUCUUUCCUCCUUCCCCUCCUCCCCAGCACCACCACCCUGUCCCUUUCACCACCUCUUUGUGCUGUCACAACAACGAGGUGAGCUCAGGAGCCAAGUUUGACACUGAGCCUUGAUGCUGCUUGUUUAGGAUUAGUUGGCCUGUGAGGAGAGUUUAUGUGUCCCCAUAAGAUGGUAAAUGACUGAAGAAGGUGGUGAGAUGCUCAGGCUCUGGCUGCUUUGCUCUUUGCCCCACCAUGGGCAGUGACAGCCUUGGAGAAAGGUCCUUCCAUCAGAUUUAAUUGGGAACUGUUGCUCAGAAGAGUUGGAUAAGCUGCAGUUCUGUGCUGUGACAUCUGCUCUGGCCCCCUUGGCCUGUCAUUGUUGGAUGGAGGUUUGUUGGGAUCAAGGAGAAGAUGGCUUUUUGUUCAAACACAUGAUAGAAACUGCUGCAUCCCUUUUUGGCAUGACAGUUUUGGAGGGGAAGAGGGAAAGCAGCUGUGCUGCAUUCCUGGUGAACACCCUGAGACCUCAUUUCCAGAAGCACCUUUCCUGGAGCAGAAGAGAGCUUCCCAUCAGCUUGGACUGGUGAUCUUCCCUGUAGGAAGAGGGGCUCUGUGAUGGGGCUAUGCAUGAGGAGAAGAAAAGCAGAUUUUGGGGUAAACUCUCACAGAGUAUCAACAUCUGAGUGUUUGGAGUCAAAGAGAAAUGAGUUCAUGCUUUUUAUUUCUCAGAGAGAUACUUCCCUAUGCCCUGCCUCUACUCAGAGCAGAGAGCUAUCUCUGCUGCCUAGGAACAUGUCUCGCUCAGCUCUGGGGCAAGCCAGGCCAAGUUUCCAACACAUCCAGGCAGACCUUCCCAACCCCCAGCCUCUUCCAGCUGCAGUUUUCUCAAGGGACUUGUGAAAGGGAGCUGGAAGGAACACUAGUCUGAGCACAGCUGGGAAGGGGCCUUAAGGUCUUUCCUCCCUGUCCCAGCUGCAUGCUGCUCCCUAAAAAUAAAAGUUUUUUGCACCAACUCAGUCACCCAAGGGUGUCACUGAAGUGAUGCUUUCUUGGAAGUGAAGGUGUUAUUUUGGUGCAUGGUACAGGUGGAAAUUUUGUGCCAGGGCUGCAAACUGCAGGCAGUGAAUGUGGCUCCAGCCUCAGGGUCUCAUCAGUGACCUGGUUUGUUUUCUCCUGCCAUUAUUUCUUUCUACUCCAGUCUGUCAGGUUGCAAGACAGAAGCUGAAAUGUAGCAAAGGGAAGAGAUGCAGAGGUCUGCCAGGCUGAAUGUCCAUCGUCCUGCAAAACUUGCCCAUCUGGCCUUUUCAAAUGUCCCUCAGUGCAUGGAUUUUGGGAGGUGAAAAAGUCUGUACUGCCUAUCCUUGGGUCUGCCGGGUGCUGAAUUGCAGAUGGGUGGCUCUGGGACCUCUGCUGCUCAGACAAAAGUGAAAACUGUGGAAUGCCUUUAAAUGGGCUGCUUGCUUGAGAGACAUCGUUAGCUCUGAGCUGUUUGCUUGUCCCUAGGAGUGGGUGGAACAAGGUGAGAAAAUGUGUGGAGGAAUAAAAGAGCCAAGGAAAGGGAAAAGCUGGUUUUAGGAGGCAACUGAGUAUCUUGGGUUGGGAAAUCAAGACAGAUUUGGGGAGUGUGGUGUAGAAUUUUAAGUAGCACAAUGGGUACAAGCAAAAACAAAAGAAAAUAGCAACGUACUGCAGCUCCAGGACAAGUUAUCUGUGAAGCUGGGCAAAUACUGGUUUAAAAAGAAGGCAGAAACCGAUAAAAUCAAGGGACCACUUAUACAGGUGGGAAACAAAAUCACUAGGCUUUGUGCUUUUCUGUAUUUUUUUUUUUCCUGUAAGAAAAUACAACUAAAAGAAGGUCUCAAAAGUUAUGCUGUUUCAGGGGCACAGACAGAAGUAUCAUAUGAGCUGUUUCCUUUCACAUGAAAGGCUCUUACUUCACAGAACUCAAAUGUGUAGGUUUCUUUACUUCAGGAUAUGGGGUGAAGAUUGCAGACACGGUCACCACAAGCCCCCAAAGCCAGAGGUAGUUUGGAACACUUGAUCAGCAUUCCUUCAUGUGCCAGUCUGUGUGAAAACAGUUUGUUCAGCAUGUUAUCUUAAAAAGUUUGUUUUUAAAUCUUUCUAAUUUCCUCCCUCCCCAGGGAGUAUCUACAUCCUUUCCUGAUCUGGCCAGGAAUCAGCUGAAGCACUACAGCCAUGGCUUGUACCCAAUGUUUUUGUAAAAGCUCUAGGUGUGUUCUCUGGCUGUAGGGCAAUGAUGAGAAUAAGCAAGGGGAAUAAAGGAGAUCCUGGCUGUGAUACCACGCUGUGGUGGCUCCUCUGAUAGCUGGAAGGCUCUGGACAUCAACAGGCUGAGACUCACAGGCACAGGCGUGUCUUGGUAAAACAAGUUUUCUUCUCCAUUUAUGUUCAGUGGCUUUCUGAUGAAUGGUGGGCUCAUAGAGCCUUGGCAUAUGGUGGUGUGUCCAAAUGAGUUCCAAAAAUAGAAGAAGAGAAAAUCCCCCCCAUCAGUACUGCUUUUCAGGAGUGGAUAGACUUGCUUAAAUCUAAGGCAGCUUCUCCGCUCCCGCACCAAGGCGUCUCUUACAUCAGUACCCAUUUAAUAUUUACAUAGCUGCUAAAUCCUAAAAAUUCUUUUCCCUUUGUUGCUGUCCUUGAAAGUAGAGAUAUUGAGUUUCCAGCCUGGAGAAAGUAGGUGUUUUCAAAACAUCUGUUCUGGCUGGCAGUGUCAUAAAUGACACAGGCAGAGAUGUCAGUCGCUGUUCUGGGAGGAAUGGAGGAGAAUUCCAUCUCUCUUGUGCCUCUUUUUCCUUUCCAAUGCAACACUGAGCCAUGAAACUUCUCCCUGAGAGAUGUGAUUGGAGUCCUAUUGCUUGCAGUUUUGAAAAACUGAACUGUGGAAAGAGAUAAGAGACUGAAAAGAAGGAAGGACAAUAUAUUCCAGCUUUCCCCAACAGUCAAGUAAAUUGGUAGAUCACUUUCAUGUUGGAGGCUCGGGUUUCUCACAGACCCAAUCUGACAGCUCUUUCCAAAUUAAAGGAAUGACCAUUGGUUCCUCCUCUCUUCUGUUAGUCCCACAAUUUUAGCAUCUCUGAGAGGGGAAGAGGCAUCACAAAUCUAACCAUUGCUUCCCCACGCUGUCAGGAGUCCUCCACAGGAACUGCUCUCCCUCCCAGCACAAGUGACUGAUCCCACUGCUGCAAACUGGAACGUUGUUCUGAGGGGAAGUUUAACUGCAGACUUACUGGCAGCUUAGGACAAGGUCCCAGCAGGGAAGGGCUGAAAUACCUCUAAAGAAAAUCAUAGCUCUGGGCGGUCCAAAUGUCUUCUUGCAUGUUUUCUCUUGCUCUCUGCUGGCUUCCAGCCUCUUCAGUCUUUGCUGCUUGAUACUCAGAGAACUGAGUUUCUGCAUUCCCUCCCUCUACUGAGCUCAGAGGACUGGUGAAGCAGUUUGAUUUCAGUGUGGUAGGUGAGAUCAGAUUUCUCCCUCCAUGCCCUCUUCUUUUUCUCCCUGUGCAGCUCCUGUCCUUGCAGUUCUCAGGACUUCACUAGCAGAGUUUUUAAAUGAAGUGAAAGUCUUAAUGUGAGGUGAAUCCCAAGACCACAAACAGUUUGGACUUCAAACAGUGAGAAAAUUGGCGCCGGAUGAUUCCGCACACAAAGCAGAAAACUUUCAUUUCCUGCAGGCAGGAUGGAAUUGACUGUUAUAUUAAGACUUCAGAAGGAGCACUGCCCCGGAGUAAUUUCACUGCUGUCAGGCAGUGUUGACAUCUAGAUUAACCUCUGUGCAGUGAAUUUUACAGCAACGCUCAUUGUAAUGCAUGUGGGGUAUCUCCUGUAAAUCCCAGCUGAAGCCCACAGUGUCCCACCCUUCUGCACAGGAGGAAGGGGUGGGGAGCAGCUGCUAUCAUUUCUGACCCCAGCAAAGCACGACUCCAACCUCAUCCAGGCCAGUUCUGCUGAAACUGAUUUUCUGCUGUGCUAAAGUGACAAUAGCUCCAGCCUGUAUUUUUUUUCUAAUUCCCCAAAGAGGUUUACAUCACAAGGCUGAAAUUUUUGCCAGUGACAAACAGCUCCCUUCAUGUAUCCAGCCAGCAGUACAGUCCUAAUUAAAAGGCACUAGUUAACUAGAGGCAAUUAGCUGCUUGCACUGAUUAUUUCCAAGACAUACAAUCCCCCAAACACAAAGCUCUGAUCAGAUGUGAUCUAAAUGGCAGACAAACUCCCAGCUGAUGUGAGAUGGUGGCAUCCAAUCCUACUCACCAGCACACAGGCACACAAUGAACCCUGUCUACCAAACUACAAUUGCAUGAAUUAAAGAAAUUCACAGAGUUAACUCAGUGCAAGUCAGAAGACAUUGCAAAAGAAGCCCCUUGGCUCCAGAAAUGAAUGCUCCUGCUGAUAAGUUGAAAGCAUAGGCCUGACCCCAAGUCCUUCUGUCUUUUGCUGUAGGAGGAGCUUGAGCAGUGGGAUUUCCUAGUCAGGACCACAUCAGCUUCUUCACUUUUGUGCUAGCAGAGACAAUCCUGUCUGGGGUUCUUAAGAUGCAUCUCUGAGAUUAUUUAAAAAAAAACCAAAACAAAACAUGUAAAAAAUAUAGAAAAGGAAGGGAAGGUUUCUUUGUAUAGUUUUGCCACACCUGCUUAUUCAUUCACUUAUUUUCCUACUCAGACAUUGCUCUGCAGUCAUCUGCAGGAGGUUCUAGGCGAGUGAAAAUCUAUCAGGUGCUGAAGAGAUAACUACUAGCCCUAAGGGAAAAAUCCCAAUAGUACGUCUAGAAAUCUCUUUCAGAGCCCAUCUCUCCUCUCACCCACAGCUUUUCACAGUAGCCUUGCCAUUAUAUUUGACAAAGGUUUUGGACAGCCUGUGAAGAGGUGAGAUAUCUUCGGUUUCCCCUCAACUUGAGGAGGAAUUGUGACAUUUCUGUAAUUCGACCCAUCAGGAAGAUUCCUUCAAACUAACAUUUAUUACCUCCAAUCAGAAUACAGCUGAAAAGGCUACCCAGGGUUAUAGAAAAGGUCAAGCUCUUGCUUUGGACUGGAAUUUACUUUGGAAGGAAUUUGAUGGACCAAUUUAACCACCACAGCACAUCAAAACCUGGUGGCUUCAUUUAAAAAGUAAUCAGUAUUGUAUUUCGCUUUAGACAUCCGUGCAUUAGUGUUCUGCAAAUAUGAUUUCCUCUUUGUUUGCAUUAUUGAUGCCAUAAAAUGUCAGACACAUUAAAGAAAAAAAAAAGAGGCCAACCUUUGGGGUUUGGAAUGAUUCUAGCUGAAUUGCAGUUGGGUUACUUUCCUUUUUAUUUCCCAUGGCAGCGAUGCACUGUUACUCUUUCUGCUAUUGUUUUACAAAGAGUUCUCAGUAAGUGUAUUUAUUCAGCCAACCAUAUUUCAGGAAACACAUAACCUUGAUAUUUUUUCCUGUAUGUGGCAGCAUAUGUGAAUGUGUGUUGGGGAGAGGAGGGCAGGUGGAGCUUUUUACAAGAGCCCUCCCAUGUCUGGUAGUGUGUUGGCUUUGUGCAAUGCUGCAUGAAUCCCUUCUGCUCAGGUGCCUGGCUUGAUUUAACCUCAAGAACUGACUUUUGUAAUCAGGAUUUGAGGUCUUCUGGUUUAGCACUGCCCAGAAUCUGUCAUCUGCUCUCACCAUUCAGCAGCCAUCUGCUAUCCACAGAGGUUCCUAGAUGUCUAUGCCACAGAGAUUACACAGUAAUUGAGUCUCAGGCAUGCGAUACAGGAGUUUUAGCUCAUUCUGAUCCUGGACCAACAGCAAGUUUGCUGAUUUAGCUUGGUUCCCACCCAAGGUUCACUGACUACAGUUCCCAAGACAAAUACUCUUAGCUGCUCAGUGCUGUUUCUCACAGACAAUUGCAAUACAGGCCUUGGCGGCUGUAGCUCUCUGCCUCACCUCUCUAUAAUGAAUGCAGGUCCAUUUUCCAGUGAUCCUGGGAAUUUUUUUGAAGGAUAUUCUCCCUCCUAAAAUCUAAGCCAUUCUCAAAUAUUCUGUCGUUUUGAAAAGUGAAGAAAUAAGGUGGAAAUAUUUCCCCUGUGUAGAGAUUUUCAUCAGUGGUAAAAUUUCAGCUUUUCCUCCCAAUGACAGCAGGACUUGGGUGCAGGAGAAGAAUACAGUGGAGCAGUCUAAGGAAGGGUCUCAGCUAGGACUGCAAAGUCAUCUGUUCACCUACUGAGCCAUCACCUCUUCAUAGAGGAAGAGAUCUCCAGCUUUUUUUGAGCUUCAGAUUCCUGCCCAGCUCUCUUGUUCCUACACCAGUGCUGAGGAAUGACCUUCAGAUGACCCUCAGAUUUCCUAAUCUUCACAGAUCCUUCCCAGGACUAUCCAAACAGCCCAAAGAAGUGAUGACAGAGGCUGAAUGGAACAAAUCCUGGCUUAUGGCCUUCCUGGAGACUGAAAUUAAGAGGCAGAUUUAGGAGAGGUUGAGAGAGACUGGAUCCUGCUGGAUGAUGCAACAGCUUUAUAGCCCAGCACCUCUCAGUAGCAAGUGCCUGGUGUGCCCUUUCUUUUAUUUAUUUUUUAAAUUACAACCCCUAAUUGCUUCAAGUAGUGUUCACAAAGAGCCUACAGCAGUUCAGUCCCCAGUCUCCUGGUAAGAGGGAGAUUUCAGCAGACGGACAGACGGACAGCCGCGUCCCUGCGGAUCAGCACCGCGGACAGCGGCACCGCCCGCUCCGGCCGCCGCCGCGGGAGGAGCCGCGCUCCGAUGGAGAACCCCACUUCGGAAGGAAUCGUGCCCACACUGCCCGGGGAACUGCUGUCACACCCGCCGUUCGUUUCUCCUAUGUGUUUUUCCAGUGUGACAUCAUUAUAUGGUAUCUUGUUUUCAGGUGGUGGAGGAGGGAUGGUUUAAAACACAAACCAAUCAUUCCAAUGCAAGAGAGAACCAGUUUUUCCUUCAAACUCUCUGCCCCGCUUUUUCCUGCACUGGUGCUCCACCUCCGAAGGCUCCAACUCUAAUUUUGACUGUGGAAGGUUCUUAUCUUCUCAUCCAUUGAGACAGUUUGACAAAUGGAGAGAUACUAUGCUGGUAGCUCUUUAGAAAGAGAAUCCUUAUUUUAUUGGAAGCAUCAUGUGAUUCAGAUUUCAUCCAUCAAUUGCAUUUACUGUUGGUAAAGGGCAAACAGACAAAUCUCUUGGCAAAUUGCAAGUAAGGGACAUAUAAAUGACACUGUGGCCACUGGAAGUUUCGUUCACCAAAAAAAAAAAAAAAAAAAAAAGUCAUAUUACUGAGUAGUGCAGGGUUGUCAUAAUCAUAGAAUCAUAGAAUGGAAGAGGUUUUAAAAAUCACCUAGUUUAAACACCCCUACCAUGGGCAGGCACAUUUCCCACCCAACUAGAUUGCACAAAGCCCUGUCCAGCCUGGCCUUGAAGAGUCAGACAAAGAUGAAGAGCCACGAAGGCACCAACAGGCAGAGCCCCAAAUGGAGAAGCAGUCUUAUCUCACAGAGGAAAAAAAGGCAAUUGUUUCAGCUUUCAUCUUGCUCAGCCUGCAUAUUUGGGAUUUCAUCCCACAGGUAUUCCUGGAUCAUACAAAGGAAGCAACACCCUCAAAUUAGGGUUGAAUAUCUCCUGGAACUAUUCAUCCUGGUGAGAAGCUGCUGGGCAGGAGCAUGCAGGCUCAUUACAUGCCUGAAAAAUUUAGUGUGGAGAAGAAGAGCCAGAAAAGUAGGGCAGAAAGUUGGGCUAUUCCCCCCACUCAACAUAUGCUGCUUCCUAGAAGCAAUUUCCUCUGUAUCCCACCUCCCACACACUCCCCAGCUGUGACUGGAAGUUACUACAAUGGGACAUGUGGAUGGACACUCAGAGACAGAGAGGACUGGGAAGUGUCUGAGACACAAGACUUUGAAACUUGGAAGUAGCAAUAUUGAAAAUAAGGGAUUAAGGCCAGACUUCUGAUGCUUAGAGCUGUCUGGGAGUCAGAAAGGAUGAGCUUGCAGGGGAUGGCAAAGAUAAUUUAAUAAGGGGCUUCGAGAGGAAAUGAUACUAAGAGGAAGGAUCAAAGAAGCCUACUGGAAUACAGGGAGAAGAAGGAAAUGGACAAGAACUUGAUUCCCAGUGAAGGGUCAGUGAUCAAGAGGGUGGUGAAAGUCAGAUAGGAGCUGUGGUGAAGCAGAAGAGAGCCCUGGCUGGGGAAGAGCUACAGAUGUGAGGAAGGAGUCCCUACAGAAUGAUGGUGCUCAUCCGAAUGGGUCCUGAAUGAUUCUCCAAACCUUCAGUUCUGCUGGGCUUCCUGUAGGCCCACAAUUUCUGCUUCAAACCUACCAACACCAUAACUUUAACUGCGUUCAUUUUGCUCUCUGACAGCUCUGGUUUCAGUAUUAACAGUCUAAAUUGUUUUAGUUCCCCUCAAUCUUUCUGUUCAACCUCCAAAACCAGCUAAUUCCUUGUGUGAAGGAGAAUUGGCUUUUUUAAAAAGUUUCCUAUUAUUUUUUCCCAGAAGUGUCCAUUCAAUUUUCAGCUAAACUGGAAGGCAAUUUUUUGCAUGAGAGCUUUACAUAGAUAGGCUUAAAGCAGAACAAAAAUAAAUAAAUAACUAUACUAAAUUACCUCCUCCUCCCCCACCAUGUCUUAAUGAAGUGCUGUUUUAUGUAAGUUAUUUCAAGAGAAAUGAAGUAUUUUGGGGCAGGCAAGCGAUCAACAUUUAUUUAGGUUUCCAAGAAUGUUGCAAUUCCCUCUGAAUCUUCUGGGUCUUGCAUGGAGGCAAGUUUUCCCCAGGUAAAGACUGAGGAUACACAACUUUCUUGGGUGAAGGCUGUCUUGGGGUCUUCAGGCUGUGCUUGGGAAUGUUUUUAGGGGCUGCACUGUGCACUUGCCUCUGGUAAUUUCUCCAAGGUUUGUGUGUUGAAGCAGUGCUGUCUGUCAGUGGUUUGUGUGGCAGCAGGAUGGCGUAGGCAGAAAAAUCACUCUGAUUUUCUGUGCUGGCCUCAAAAUAACCCCAUAAAUGCACCUUCCAGAAAUCUGCAAGGGUAGACUUAUUUUCCAGGCAACUGCUCCUCCUCCCAUCUGAACUGCCCUUCAGCAGUGCAGGCAGGCUUGGCCCUCAGAAGGUGCUGCUCUGCAGCUCAGAGGAAAGACAUUUUGAUGGCAUUUGUGUUGUUACUAUUAUUUAAAACAGCUAAUUUUAAUUUCUGCUAAUGUCACAGAAGGACAGCAUGAGCAGAAAACAAUCUGGUGGUCUAUGUUGAAUUGAUUUCUAUUUUUCUGGCAGACUUUUUUUUACACUAUGCACCAAUCUAUGUUUGCUUAGUCUGGGGCUUCUUUUGCAUCCUGUGAGUCCUAUUUGCCAUUUUGCAAGUGAAUUGAUGGUUCUCAACCUUCUCUAAACUGCAGUCUCCUCUUCUCCAAACCAAAAUUCACCAUUUUCUCCUGCUGGGAACAAGCCAAGUUACUCCUUAAGGGAGAAUCUGGUGAGAGCAAGGAAGCUGUGAUCUCUGCCUGCCCAUCCCACCUCCACUGGCUCCAGCUCAGAGGAUGAGGAACUCUGAUCUGAGUUUAGGCCAAGGUAGGGUCCCUGCUUGUCCCCUACCUGCCACACCAUGUGCAUUGAGCUACCCUGGAAGGGGAUGACUGAUAGAGUGUUAGUCACACUUACAUGAAGAGUUUUUAAAUAAAGAAAUUGCAGUGAGGUCCAGGGACCUGUUAAAGUGCUGAGGUAUUUACCCUCCCCAGACCUUCCCUUCCUUCCUGCCCUGCUUUGGCCCUUCCUCUCUCCCCAGCCUUGAAAUGAAACAGAAAAUUAUUUUUUUAAAACUGUGUCGAUAAUUUAUGUUUAGUAUAAAGGAUGAUUUAAUGGCAUCACCAAAGGUCAUUUUUUUCAUCUCCGUGUUACUAUCCCAGCCCCAGAGGCUGUGCAUCCCCUCUCUCCCAUAACUCCACUGCCCUCCCUUCCAUUCACCUCACACAUCCUUUGUCACCACCCCACCCCAGCGUUCCACGCAGCCGACACCUGCUUCAGGUUCCGCCAAUGGCCGAUGGAGAACAGAGAUUUCAAAGCGAAACCUCCACUCCCGACCACCCCGAACUGAAACCAUUUUCCACUUUGAAAACAGUCAGUUGCUGCAGAUGACAGGCAGACUCAUUUCUUGAACUAAGUAAGGUUUUUUUUAAAGCCUUUUAUACCUAUUUACGUGUGCGCGUGCGUGCACCGAGUGUGCACAGUGGUACCUGUGUGCACAGAUGCACACGGAUCUCUCUCUCAAGUAUAAAUAUAUUGUAUGUUAGAGCUGUAAAUACUCUUUGGUCAUGUGUCUAUGUCUUCUUCAAAGUAUCAUAUCCUCAGUGUUACGUUAACAACUCCAUUUAUUGAUUGAUGAAACUAUGUGUAGACCUGUACCCUCCUGACAUAGUUUAUGUAGCUCUCUCUUCUCAAAUAAAGUACAAAACUACCACCA